rnacentral:tRNA from 1 species
UAGCUCAGCGGUAGAGCAGAUCCCUUUUAAGGAUAAGGUCCUGGGUUCGCCCUG